rnacentral:rRNA from 1 species
GACGAACGCUGGCGGCGUGCUUAACACAUGCAAGUCGAACGGUAAGGCGAUGCUUUUGUGGGGUGUUCGAGUGGCGAACGGGUGGGUAACAAGUGAGUAACCUGCUCCUGAAUUUGGGAUAACUUCUGGUGACUGGGGCUACUAAUGCAUCGUAGCUUCUGAUGAAUGGAGGGGGUUGGCAUGUUUCGGCGGUUGGGGAUGGACUCGCGGCUUAUCAGCUUGUUGGUGGGGUAGUGGCUUACCACGGCUUUGACGGGUAGCCGGCCUGUGAGGGUGACGAGCCACUUCGGGACUGAAAUGCGGGCCGGAGUGCUACGUAAUGCAGCAGGGGGGAAUAUCGCACAAUGGGCGGAAGCCUGAAGCAGCAACGCCGCGGGGUGGAUAACGGCCUUCAGGGUGGAGACCGCUUGCGCCGUUGACGAAGCGUGAGUGACAGGAAUGGGGAAAGAAGCACCGGCUAACUACGUG